UUCCGGUUGAUCCUGCCGGAGGCUACCGCUAUUGGAGUUCGAUUAAGCCAUGCGAGUCGCGAGUCUUAGGGACUCGGCGUACCGCUCAGUAACACGUGGGUAACCUGCCCUAUGCUGGGGGAUAACCUCGGGAAACUGAGAAUAAUACCCCAUAGUUCACCACGCCUGGAACGGUGGGUGGAUGAAAGCUCCGGCGGCAUAGGAUGGGCCUGCGGCGUAUCAGGUUGUAGGGGGUGUAAUGUACCCUCUAGCCAUCUACGCGUACGGGUGUUGGGAGACAUCGCCCGGAGAUGGAUUCUGAGACACGAAUCCAGACCCUACGGGGUGCAGCAGGCGCGAAAACUUGGCAAUGCGAGCAAUCGUGACCAGGGAACUCCAAGUGCAUCGGGUAAGACCGAUGCUUUUCUUGACUCUUCAAAGGUCUUGGAAUAAGGGGUGGGUAAGGACGGUGCCAGCCGCCGCGGUAAUACCGGCGCCUCAAGUGGUAGUCGCUUUUAUUGGGCCUAAAACGUCCGUAGCCGGUUUGGUACAUUCGUGGGUAAAUCAAGGCGCUCAACGUCUUGAAUUCUGCGAGCACGGCCAGACUUGGGACCGGGUGAGGUGUGGGGUACUCUCAGGGUAGGGGUAAAAUCCUGUCAUCCUGAGAGGACCACCUGUUGCGAAGGCGCCACACUAGAACGGAUCCGACGGUCAGGGACGAAGCCUAGGGGCACGAACCGGAUUAGAUACCCGGGUAGUCCUAGGUGUAAACGCUGUGGACUUGAUGUUGGGAGUGCUCCGAGCACCCUCAGUGUCGAAGCGAAGGUGAUAAGUCCACUGCCUGGGGAGUACGGUCGCAAGGCUGAAACUUAAAGGAAUUGGCGGGGGAGCACUGCAACCUGAGGAUUGUGCGGUUUAAUUGGAUUCAACGCCGG
rnacentral:rRNA from 1 species